rnacentral:rRNA from 1 species
UCGCAAAUUACCCACUCUCAAUUCGAGGAGGUAGUGACAACAACUAACGAGACUGCUCCCUUUGGGAACAGUCAUCGAAAUGGGUACAAUUUAAACCCUUUAACGAGGAUCAAUGAGAGGGCAAGUCUGGUGCCAGCAGCCGCGGUAAUUCCAGCUCUCAAAGUGUAUGUCAUUAUUGCUGCGGUUAAAAAGCUCGUAGUUGGAUCUGAGCCUUUGGCGACAGUUCGUUUUCAUGCGAUACUGUGGCCGGGGUUAAUUUUGUCGGUUCGCCGGCAAGAGUUACUCUGAAUAAAUCAGAGUGCUCAAAACAAGCGUUUCGCUUGAAUGUUUUUGCAUGGAAUAAUGGAAAAGGACUUCGGUUCCUUACUGUUGGUUUCGGAAUUGGAUUAAUGAUUAAGAGGGACCAACGGGGGCAUGCGUACCGCUACGCGAGAGGUGAAAUUCAUGGACCGUAGCGUGACGACCUAAAGCGAAAGCAUUUGCCAAGAAUGUCUUCAUUAAUCAAGAACGAAAGUCAGAGGUUCGAAGGCGAUUAGAUACCGCCGUAGUUCUGACCGUAAACGAUACCAUCUAGCGAUCCGGUGGUGGUAUUACCGCCUCGCCGGGGAGCUUCCCGGAAACGAAAGACUUCCGGUUCCGGGGGUAGUAUGGUUGCAAAGCUGAACUUAAAGGAAUUGACGGAAUCGCACCACCAGGGAGUGGAGCCUGCGGGCUUAAAUUUGACUA